AAGAAAUGAAAAACUUAUCUUAUGAAAGGAAACUCAAAGAGCUUGGGUUGUUUAGCCUAACCAUACAAAGGCUAAGGGAAGAUAUGAUUGCUCUCUAUAAAUAUACCAGAGGGA